CCCUUGGUAAGGAAGCGGCCUUUGAGCUCAGUUCUUCAGGCUCUACCAGGAUUCAAAUUUGUCCCAUAAGGCAAAAACAUGCAGCCAAAUUCGGAAGAUGUCUUGGGAGCCUGGAAAAGGGACCAGGAUAAGAAAGACACAGAUGGCUGGACAGAUGGCACAUAAGGGCAGGCAAGGCCUUCCCAGGGAGUCUGAAAUGAUUCACAGAAAACCAUUGCAUCACCACUGUGACCAGCUUGAGACUCCUGUGAACCUGGGAAGACACAGUCGUUAGCAACAGAAUGAUUAAUAAGCGAAGGUUCAACAUCCUGCCCCCUGCUGCAAGCAGACAAUAUACAGAAGGAAGAGAAGCAAUGACUUCAGGACACUGGCAUAGGUCAAGCCAAGACAUAGCAGAAGUUGAACCACAGCCAGGGUCAAACCCACAGAUCUUUCUCAUCUGACAUUUUCUGGGAUCAAGGGUGAUCAUGUUUAAGUAAUGGAUAAACAAUGUUAAUAUCAGAAACAUACCAGCCAAUUAAUUUAAGGUCUACUCAGAAUUCUGAAUUCUGGUCGUAUUGUUUGGUCACUCAAUGUCGUGCAGCAACUUAGAUUGCAUUUGUAACUUGUAACUUUCAAACCUUUAUUUCUGACAUAAAAGCAAAACAAAAACUAACAGGAAAUGCCCUUCAGAUGGAAAGGCCUUGCAGUGUACUGAGCGCAACCUGUCUCUUUACGUUUUGCUGUUGUCAUAGUUCCGUCACAGCCACAGAUGUUUUCAAUGAAGACCAGAUCACCUGCCCCCGAAAUGUGUUCUCCUAUUGCCAAUA